rnacentral:rRNA from 1 species
UACGUAGGGUGCAAGCGUUAAUCGGAAUUACUGGGCGUAAAGCGUGCGCAGGCGGUUAUGCAAGACAGAUGUGAAAUCCCCGGGCUCAACCUGGGAACUGCAUUUGUGACUGCAUGGCUAGAGUGCGGCAGGAGGGGGAUGGAAUUCCGCGUGUAGCAGUGAAAUGCGUAGAUAAGCGGAGGAACACCGAUGGCGAAGGCAAUCCCCUGGGCCUGCACUGACGCUCAUGCACGAAAGCGUGGGGAGCAACAGG